UGGUGAAACAAUGGACAUUUUAUUGUUCCACUCUGUUGAGACACAGCAGGGCAGCCUUUCUGACGUUUACAGCAGGGAAGAAAUAUCAAGUCAGAACCCUAAGUAUAAGCCAUCACCAGGGCCAACUGUGAAACAUAAUUAACCCCAGGAGGUGUGUGAAGGAACACAGCGUCAGGAUUUCCCCGGAAAGGGCUGCAAGGGGAACAGAGUUUCUUUGAAGGAUUGCCCCUCACCUCUCCUUUGUUCUCCUGCCCGGAGAACCUCAUUUCAUCUUCAUCAGGAACUA
rnacentral:lncRNA from 1 species